rnacentral:tRNA from 1 species
GCCGGAAUGGUGGAAUUGGUAGACGCAGCGGACUCAAAAUCCGCCGCCCGCAAGGGCUUGAGAGUUCGAGUCUCUCUUCCGGCACCA